rnacentral:snRNA from 1 species
CAAUUCGUAUGCUCGCAUAUGGU